AUUGAACGCUGGCGGCAGGCUUAACACAUGCAAGUCGAGCGGGGUGAUGGUGCUUGCACUAUCACUUAGCGGCGGACGGGUGAGUAAUGCUUAGGAAUCUGCCUAUUAGUGGGGGACAACAUCUCGAAAGGGAUGCUAAUACCGCAUACGUCCUACGGGAGAAAGCAGGGGAUCACUUGUGACCUUGCGCUAAUAGAUGAGCCUAGUCGGAUUAGCUAGUUGGUGGGGUAAAGGCCUACCAAGGCGACGAUCUGUAGCGGGUCUGAGAGGAUGGUCGGCCACACGGGGAAGGAGACACGGCCCAGGCUCGUAGGGGAGGCAGCAGUGGGGAGUAUUGGACAAUGGGGGGAACCCUGAUCCAGCCAUGCCGCGUGUGUGAAGAAGGCCUUAUGGUUGUAAAGCACUUUAAGCGAGGAGGAGGCUACUCUAGUUAAUACCUAGGGAUAGUGGACGUUACUCGCAGAAUAAGCACCGGCUAACUCUGUGCCAGCCGCCGCCGUAA
rnacentral:rRNA from 1 species